rnacentral:lncRNA from 1 species
CAGGGUCUUCAGCUUGCUGGCAGAUUGAGGAACUUUUCAGCCUCCAUGCCGCAGUGAAAAGAGAAGAUGAUAGGGACAAAGAAAGAAAAAAUCAGAGAGAAGAUCUGGAUAUAAAGAAAAGAACUGUGAAAGGGAUCCUAAGAGAAGAUUUGAUUCACAUAAAUUGAUGGAAAAAUAUUAGAAACAAAUCCAAAACAUUAAUGAGAAUCGUGU